rnacentral:rRNA from 1 species
AUACGUAGGGGGCGAGCGUUAUCCGGAAUUAUUGGGCGUAAAGCGCGCGCAGGCGGCCGAUUAAGUCAGGUGUGAAAGGCUGCGGCUCAACCGCAGAGCGGCAUCUGAAACUGGUCGGCUUGAGUGCAGGAGAGGGGAGUGGAAUUCCCGGUGUAGCGGUGGAAUGCGUAGAGAUCGGGAGGAACACCAGUGGCGAAGGCGGCUCUCUGGCCUGUAACUGACGCUGAGGCGCGAAAGCGUGGGGAGCAAACAGGAUUAGAUACCCUGGUAGUCCACGCCGUAAACGAUGAGUGCUAGGUGUUGGGGGGUUCCCCCUCAGUGCCGAAGGUAACCCAUUAAGCACUCCGCCUGGGGAGUACGGCCGCAAGGCUGAA